CCUACGGGGGCAGCAGUGGGGAAUAUUGGACAAUGGGCGAAAGCCUGACCAGCCAUGCCGCGUGUGUGAAGAAGGCCUUCGGGUUGUAAAGCACUUUCAGUGGGGAAGAAAGCCUUGGGGCUAAUACCCUCGAGGAAGGACAUCACCCACAGAAGAAGCACCGGCUAACUCCGUGCCAGCAGCCGCGGUAAUACGGAGGGUGCGAGCGUUAAUCGGAAUUACUGGGCGUAAAGCGCGCGUAGGCGGUCUGAUAAGCCGGUUGUGAAAGCCCCGGGCUCAACCUGGGAACGGCAUCCGGAACUGUCAGGCUAGAGUGCAGGAGAGGAAGGUAGAAUUCCCGGUGUAGCGGUGAAAUGCGUAGAGAUCGGGAGGAAUACCAGUGGCGAAGGCGGCCUUCUGGACUGACACUGACGCUGAGGUGCGAAAGCGUGGGUAGCAAACAGGAUUAGAUACCCUAGUAGUC
rnacentral:rRNA from 1 species